CUGUGACAUAUUUCGCCUCCUCUACGCUUCUGCCUGGUGGAACUGGACUUUCAAGUCGGAGCAGGUGAUAAGAGGGAGCGAGUUGCCAGAAGUUGGUGUACAGGGAGGGAGAAGCAGCUUGUCCAGACUUGGCCCAGAUUGGGAGUCAGCCUGUUUGGGAGCUCUAGGAACUAUGAACGAGUGUAGACAGGACCCCAUCCAUUCUUGAAUAUACUGCAGCUUGAUGGAGCCUAUCCCGGCUGACUCAAGUUGAUCUGAGGCCAGAUUGAAUGGAUGGAGAGCUCAUGUAAGCACCUGCCCCCAGAAAGACCAUGUAGGUCACAUGACCAGAGGCACCACCACCACCACCGCCGCCGCCACCAGCAGCAGCAGCAGCAGCAGCAUGCGGCUUGUUUGCGGCCCGACUGGUCUGGCAACAUUGUGGCUUGUGACUGCACGGCGCCGGCAAAACCAGUCGGUUUGGAGAAAAGGGAAACCUGGGAAAGCGAGGGGCGGGACGGAGGAGAGGAAGUGACAAGGGAGGAAGCUGAGAAGCAGCUUCCUCUUGCCUCAACAGGAGGUCACGGCAGCUGUGUUCAGGCGCGUUUUUGGGGAUUGAUCGCAGGUUUGUGAGCUUUGUGACCCCUCGAAGAUGAAUUCCAAACAAACAAUCCGUCGUAAAUAACUACCACUUUUUAUGACAGUAAUAAAAAAAAAAAAAUGUCAGGCAAUCCCCCUCCCCCUCCCCCGACACACAAUGAGCACCAGGAAGAUAAUAUUCUCUCCUGCUAGCCAAUAGCUGACACCUGGAAGAUUUGCUUUCAGGCUCCACAACCCCAACCCCA